CCUACGGGCGGCAGCAGUGGGGAAUAUUGGACAAUGGGCGAAAGCCUGAUCCAGCCAUGCCGCGUGUGUGAAGAAGGCCUUCGGGUUGUAAAGCACUUUCAGUGGGGAAGAAAGCCUUGGGGCUAAUACCCUCGAGGAAGGACAUCACCCACAGAAGAAGCACCGGCUAACCCCGUGCCAGCAGCCGCGGUAAUACGGAGGGUGCGAGCGUUAAUCGGAAUUACUGGGCGUAAAGCGCGCGUAGGCGGUCUGAUAAGCCGGUUGUGAAAGCCCCGGGCUCAACCUGGGAACGGCAUCCGGAACUGUCAGGCUAGAGUGCAGGAGAGGAAGGUAGAAUUCCCGGUGUAGCGGUGAAAUGCGUAGAGAUCGGGAGGAAUACCAGUGGCGAAGGCGGCCUUCUGGACUGACACUGACGCUGAGGUGCGAAAGCGUGGGUAGCAAACAGGAUUAGAUACCCUGGUAGUC
rnacentral:rRNA from 1 species